AACGAACGCUGGCGGCAUGCCUAACACAUGCAAGUCGAACGAGACCUUCGGGUCUAGUGGCGCACGGGUGCGUAACGCGUGGGAAUCUGCCCUUGGGUUCGGAAUAACAGUGAGAAAUUACUGCUAAUACCGGAUGAUGUCUUCGGACCAAAGAUUUAUUGCCCAGGUAUGAGCACGCGUAGGAUUAGCUAGUUGGUGGGGUAAUGGCCUACCAAGGCGACGAUUCUUAGCUGGUCUGAGAGGAUGAUCAGCCACACUGGGACUGGGACACGGCCCAGACUCCUACGGGAGGCAGCAGUGGGGAAUAUUGGACAAUGGGCGCAAGCCUGAUCGAGCAAUGCCGCGUGAGUGAUGAAGGCCGUAGGGUUGUAAAGCUCUUUUACCCGGGAUGAUAAUGACAGUACCGGGAGAAUAAGCUCCGGCUAACUCCGUG
rnacentral:rRNA from 1 species